rnacentral:rRNA from 2 species
CAAACGACUCUCGGCAACGGAUAUCUCGGCUCUCGCAUCGAUGAAGAAGAGGGCACGUCUGCCUGGGCGUCACGC